GAUGAAGAACGUAGCGAAAUGCGAUAAGUAAUGUGAAUUGCAGAAUUCAGUGAAUCAUCGAAUCUUUGAACGCACCUUGCGCCCUUUGGCUAUUCUGAAGGGCAUGCCUGUUUGAGUAUCAUGAACACCUCAACUCUCAUGGUUCGCCAUGAUGAGCUUGGACUUUGGGGGUCUUGCUGGCCUACGGUCGGCUCCUCUCAAAUGAAUCAGCUUGCCAGUGUUUGGUAGAGUCGCAGGUGUGAUAACUAUCUACGCUUGUGGUUUUCUGCCAGAUAACCUUCAGUGAUGGAGGUUCGCUGGAGCUUAUAAAUGUCUCUCCCCAGUGAGGCCAGCUUUUUGAACGUUUGAUCUCAAAUCAGGUAGGACUACCCGCUGAACUUAAGCAUAUCAAUAAGCGGAGGA
rnacentral:misc_RNA from 1 species